rnacentral:tRNA from 2 species
GGGUCGUUAGCUCAACUGGCAGAGCGUUUGACUUACAUUCAAGAGGUUACAGGUUCGAGUCCUGUACGACCCA